GACUGCUCCAGUGGCCUAGUAGUUAUAGCGUCUGCCUCACAAGCAGGAGGUUGCAGGUUCGAACCCCGGCUGAGUCA